UACGGAAGGUCCGGGCGUUAUCCGGAUUUAUUGGGUUUAAAGGGAGCGUAGGCCGGUCUUUAAGCGUGCCGUGAAAGUUUGCGGCUCAACCGUAAAAUUGCAGUUGAUACUGGCAUCCUUGAGUACAGUAGAGGUAGGCGGAAUUCGUGGUGUAGCGGUGAAAUGCUUAGAUAUCACGAAGAACUCCGAUUGCGAAGGCAGCCUGCUGGACUGUAACUGACGCUGAUGCUCGAAAGUGUGGGUAUCAAACAGG
rnacentral:rRNA from 1 species